CUCCAAGAGGCAGAGAUCUGGCUUAGGAGAGUCUGGAAGGAGCUCAGAGGAGCUUAGAUGCAGGACCUGCGCUGCGACCGGAGCGGUCAGGGAAUCCUACGAUUCGCCCCAGAAUCAGAAGCCGGAGAAACUCGCUAAUGCUUUCGAUAUAAAAGGCUGCAGCCCCGGAGCACCGAAGGGCUGGCGGGAGCCGCACACGUGUCACCGCAGUUUCCCGGCGCGGGCAGGGCAGAGGAAGGCGCACCGCGGCUGCAGCCCCCGCUCCGGCAAGGGCGAGCCCCGCAGCACGGCGAGCGGGGCCACCAGCCCCGCGCCCCCCGCGCGGGCAGAGGGAGCCAGCCGGGGAGGAAGGGAGGGGCUGGGAAGACCGAAAAACCCCGGGGUGUGGUACCACCAGGGAAAGAGGUGAAGAUCUCCAGGGGAAUAUGUAUCUAAGAGCCGCCCUCAUUGCUCACAUACACCCUCUGAGUGUGGGAUUAUUAUCUCUGUACCAAGCGCCCAUGGAAACUGGCAGAGCAUCACUGCACAGCUUUCUUGUGCAAUGAAUUGGAAAAGAGUGCCUACAAGGAUGGUCCCAGGAGCAAGUAGGGCUAAUGAGGACAUUGUGUACACAGGAGAAGUGACAAUUAUAUGGAGUUGUGAUGAACAGCCCAGAAACCUCACAGUUAUUCACACACCUGAAAACAAGAGGAGCUUGUUAUCACAGUCAGGGACUUGGAAGCCAAGGUGAGAAGAAGAUGUAAACCAGAGGCCAGUGAAGCAUCAGAAACCAAUGGUAGUGAGUUGGAUGUAGGUGAAAAGGGGAUCAGCUUUUCUUGUGUGCUUUUCAACCUGGGCUGAGCAAAGCAUGAGAAGAUGCAGCACUGGAGGUGGAAAGCUCCCUCCAGCAGGGUGCUGCCUGACCAAGGGAGGAGACCUGUGUGCUGUGGCCAUUUUAUGGGCACAUAUUGCAUGAGCAUCCAGCACAAGAGAAAAAUGCAAGUGCAAUGGGCAGGGAGAUGCCAGAAAAGUCUAUUCAACCCCACAGUCCUAUCUCCACCAUGUCCUUGGAAAAACAGGCAGCAAGGCCUGGGUUGCAGGCAGGCUGCUGUGGUGGGCACUGCUGUGGGAAUUCCCAGUUUGGGAAACAGUGUGGAGGAGUUGAGGUCUUCUUACUCCCCAGCUGUAAAAUUGCUUCCCACCUCUUUCCUUGGUGGUGGCAUAUCCCCACUCUGCCCUGUUUUGUAAAGGCAUUAUUGGGCUUCACUGUGCUGUAUUCUCUCAGUCAAGAGCUGAACUGAGCUCAGCGUGGCUUGAGGUAUAGAUGUUCCUGUUUAUCACAGUGUAGAUGUGCUGGCAGGACAUUACCAUCUCCCGGCAAAGAAAAGGUUAACACUGUCCUCUUUGUGCUGCAUCUCAGGAGGAGUGCAGUCACACAUUUUUAUUUUUGGUUCUGCUGCAUGAGAACAACUGCUCUUUGUAACCUGCAUGGCACAAAGGACGCGUUUCUUCCGGCAGCAUUUAAGAGAGGGCAUAAAAAAGGAAGCAGAGGAAGAAAGUUCGUAUUCAGUGAGUGCCAGGUUGUCAAGGUUUCCUCUGCUUUCAGACAUAAUUUUUUUCUCCUGACAGACACAAAAGAGAUUUAAAACUGUUUGGUGCAAAAUGGAGCUUCAAAAGCAGCACUGUCUGUGUCUGACAGAAGGUGAAGAGCACAGCUCAGGACCUCCUGUACAAGACAACAUUGCUGUCAUCGUGGUGCAAACAGGAGCAUUAGACCAGGUCUGUGCUCAGCUUGUCACAAAGCUUGCCCUGUGUGAGUCUCAAAAUCCUGCACUGCUUUCAGCCCACCUCCCAGAGGGGCUGUGGGCUGGUUCAGCCCUACAAGGACAUGGGUCAAGUUCAGUCUGCUGCAAAGAAAGAGGCUUUCCGAGGUCUCGCUCUUCAGUUUCCUUCCCCAUUUGUAUUGUUUUCUGUUUUAAUAAAUUGUGGACUGCCAGCAAAAUC